rnacentral:rRNA from 1 species
UACGUAGGGUGCGAGCGUUAAUCGGAAUUACUGGGCGUAAAGGGUGCGCAGGCGGCGUCGCAAGUCAGGCGUGAAAUCCCCGGGCUUAACCUGGGAACUGCACUUGAAACUACGAUGCUGGAGUAUGGCAGAGGGAGGUGGAAUUCCACGUGUAGCGGUGAAAUGCGUAGAGAUGUGGAGGAACACCGAUGGCGAAGGCAAUCCCCUGGACCUGUACUGACGCUCAUGCACGAAAGCGUGGGGAGCAAACAGG